CCUACGGGAGGCAGCAGUAGGGAAUCUUCCGCAAUGGACGAAAGUCUGACGGAGCAACGCCGCGUGAACGAAGAAGGCCUUCGGGUCGUAAAGUUCUGUUGUUAGGGAAGAACAAGUACCAGAGUAACUGCUGGUACCUUGACGGUACCUAACCAGAAAGCCACGGCUAACUACGUGCCAGCAGCCGCGGUAAUACGUAGGUGGCAAGCGUUGUCCGGAAUUAUUGGGCGUAAAGCGCGCGCAGGUGGUUCCUUAAGUCUGAUGUGAAAGCCCACGGCUCAACCGUGGAGGGUCAUUGGAAACUGGGGAACUUGAGUGCAGAAGAGGAAAGUGGAAUUCCAAGUGUAGCGGUGAAAUGCGUAGAGAUUUGGAGGAACACCAGUGGCGAAGGCGACUUUCUGGUCUGUAACUGACACUGAGGCGCGAAAGCGUGGGGAGCAAACAGGAUUAGAUACCCUGGUAGUCCACGCCGUAAACGAUGAGUGCUAAGUGUUAGAGGGUUUCCGCCCUUUAGUGCUGCAGCUAACGCAUUAAGCACUCCGCCUGGGGAGUACGGCCGCAAGGCUGAAACUCAAAGGAAUUGACGG
rnacentral:rRNA from 1 species